GACGUACCACCCAAACGUUAUUCGGAAUCACUGGGCGUAAAGCGCACGUAGGCGGCUUGUUAAGUCAGGGGUGAAAUCCUGGAGCUCAACUCCAGAACUGCCUUUGAUACUGGCAAGCUUGAGUUCGGGAGAGGUGAGUGGAACUGCGAGUGUAGAGGUGAAAUUCGUAGAUAUUCGCAAGAACACCAGUGGCGAAGGCGGCUCACUGGCCCGAUACUGACGCUGAGGUGCGAAAGCGUGGGGAGCAAACAGG
rnacentral:rRNA from 1 species